rnacentral:rRNA from 1 species
GACGAACGCUGGCGGCGUGCUUAACACAUGCAAGUCGAACGGCAAGGCCCUGCUUUUGUGGGGUGCUCUAGUGGCGAACGGGUGAGUAACACGUGAGUAACCUGCCCUUUACUUUGGGAUAACUUCAGGAAACUGGGGCUAAUACCGGAUAGGAGCUCCUGCUGCAUGGUGGGGGUUGGAAAGUUUCGGCGGUUGGGGAUGGACUCGCGGCUUAUCAGCUUGUUGGUGGGGUAGUGGCUUACCAAGGGUUUGACGGGUAGCCGGCCUGAGAGGGUGACCGGCCACAAUGGGACUGAGAGACGGCCCAGACUCGUACGGGAGGCAGUAGUGGGAAAUAUUGCACAAUGAGCGGAAGCCUGAUGCAGAGACGCCGCGUGCGGAAUGACGGCCUUCGGGGGGUAAACCGCUUUCGCAUGAGACGAAGCGGGAGUGACGGUAAUGGGUAAAGAAGCACCGGCUAACUACGUG